rnacentral:lncRNA from 1 species
UCAGAAAACAAACAGAAUUUGAGAUUUGAAUUUGAAAAUCAAAACAAGAAAGGGAGUAAUUUGAAACACGCGUAACAGGGGAAGGGCCGAAGGAGAAAAUUACCCAAAUAUACUGCACAGCACUGGGAUAAAAUAAAACAUUCGAUAUUUCAUGGAAAAUUUUGAAAACAAAAAAAAAUGGUUUUGAAAUGAUAAGAUAAAAUGGAAGGAUUAAAAACAUAAAUAACCCAUAAAUAGAAUCUCAUUUCAUUUGCAGCCAAUAAAACCCAUUUCAAACCCCUAAAAGAGAACUCCUCUGCCAUUCAAAAUUGCGCCGCAGCAGUUCUCCUCCGCCGUUCCAGUCCCCUCCCAUGUCCGACCAGAUGACGACGAAACGAGGACGCUCUCUGACGACUCUCGCAACGGCAAGCCCUCCUUUUCCUUUCCCUUUUGUUUUUGUUUUAUAACAGAAAAUAAAAAAAGAAAAAGAACAACAAUCCCACAGAUUCUAAAAAAAAACAAAACGAGAUACCUUCAAAAAUAUUUUUUUGUUUCUUUCUCUUUUGUAUUUUCUUUGAUAUUUUUCAAUACAGAAUUUUUCUAACAAAAUUUGCUAACGCCAAUUACAGAUUCGAUUUGACUUUAAAUAGCCAAAAUCAUGAAAAGAAAAAAAAACCCCCAAAAACCUCUUUUCCACCCUUUACUGUUCGUGGUUGUUGCAGGUGCGGGCGUGUGGCGUGCGCGGAGUGCUGAACGUGGGACGGUGUGGAGGCUACUGAACGUGGGGAAUGUGGUGCUGUUAAUUGCUGCUAGGAUUUCUGCUGUUUUAGGCCAAUUGGGCCCUUUAAUUGGGUUUAGCUUGGCCCAAGUUUUAUUGGGUUCAAUUGUAUUUAAUUUUAGUAUUUGAUUUGGGCUGUGUAAAUAGUUUUGGGCUUUAGGCUUAGUUGGGCCCGGGUCAAAAAUUGGGUAUUACAAUGAUCAUGCAAAGGGGACUAAAGACAGUAACAAAAACUGUAGCUUAAUAAUUGAGUAUUAUUAUAAAUAAAUUAUUGUAAUAUAUGUAAAAAUAAUUUAAAAUAUAAAAAUUUAUUAAUAUAUAUUAAUAUAUGUAAAAAUAACUUUUCUGGUAAAUAUUUUCAAGAAAUCUGUCAAACAGCAAAAAAU